GUGUCAGCCGCCGCGGUAAUACGAAGGUCCCAAGCGUUGUUCGGAAUCACUGGGCGUAAAGGGAGCGUAGGCGGCGUGGUAAGUCAGAUGUGAAAUCCCGGGGCUCAACCCCGGAACUGCAUCCGAUAUUGCCAUGCUAGAGGAUUGGAGAGGUAGCUGGAAUUCUUGGUGUAGCAGUGAAAUGCGUAGAGAUCAAGAGGAACUCUCGUGGCGAAAGCGAGCUACUGGACAAUUCCUGACGCUGAGGCUCGAAGGCUAGGGUAGCGAAAGGGAUUAUAUACCCCUGUAGUCCUAGCAGUAAACGGUGCACGCUUGGUGUGAGGGGAAUCGACCCCCCUUGUGCCGGAGCUAACGCGUUAAGCGUGCCGCCUGGGAAGUACGGUCGCAAGACUAAAACUCAAAUGAAUUGACGG
rnacentral:rRNA from 1 species